rnacentral:lncRNA from 1 species
AGCAGCUACCAAGGAUACAUUGUCCUCUCAAAAUGAGUCACAGACUGUAGCUCAGGUGCUCCCCUGCAAAAUUGCCCUCUUCUUUGCCCUGAUCUCUGUUGCAGAUCCUGUCCAAUCCUGCUCUUUGAAGACACUACAUUUUCAUCCUCAACACCAAGAAGAACUGGGUUGGACUAGCACUUGGGUGGGAGACUUCUACUGCAUUCUAGAGUGUAGCAUUGCAUAUAGUGUAAAAAACCCCAGCAACCCAGAAGACAAUAUCUUGGAAAUUCCUGCUUGACAAUAUCCCAGAAAUUCCAAUAAAUAUUAAAUCUUGCCAUGUUUUUUGAUGGUU